rnacentral:rRNA from 1 species
UACGUAGGGGCCGAGCGUUGUCCGGAGUUAUUGGGCGUAAAGUGCGCGCAGGCGGCUUCGCGCGCCCGACGUGAAAGCCCCCGGCUUAACCGGGGAGAGUCGUUGGGGACGGCGGAGCUUGAGGGCGGGAGAGGUCGGUGGAAUUCCCGGUGUAGUGGUGGAAUGCGUAGAUAUCGGGGGGAAUACCAGUGGCGAAAGCGGCACCCUAGCGUUAGCCUGACGCUCAUGUGCGAAAGCGUGGGGAGCGAACGGG